CAGUCGUACCAGCGGGAAUCAACCUUUCGAGUGGGGUUUUGGAGUUUUUUGAAGAGUGUCAAAACCUUUAUUUCAAAAUAUUCGCUCUUUUGGUGUACUUUCUCGUGGGUAGGUUAACAUCGAUUUUGAUCAUCAUAAAAAGAUUGGAGGAAUGUAGCUUCGAUCCUGUAUUGAAGUGUUAUAGCCUUUGGUAAAUGUGAUGAUUAGGAUCGAGGAUUGCAACGAAUACCCUUUUGGGCUAUCCGCCUGAUCUCUGAUACGUGGCCUUGGUAUCGAAAGCGUGCUUAUGGUAUUGAGGUAUUACGGUCAAAAGGUUAGAACGGAUUACAUUCGUUAAGGAUGUUGACGUA
rnacentral:rRNA from 1 species